CACACUCGCUGGGCAGCCCACGCACCCCACCACAGGCUGCUGCCCACCGCCCCAUGCCAGCCAUGGGUGCCCAUAUCCCUCAACUGCCGUGCCACAGCUCACCUUGGCUACCCAGGCGUGGUGUCCUGGGGCCCUUGCUGUGCUCUGCAGGCGCUGAUCUUUUCAGGAACAAAGCAGGCCCCGAAAGUGACUCCAAGAGUGAACGCUUUUGAAAGAACCACCAUUCUCAAGUUGAUCUCACCACAAAGCAAUAAAGAAAUGGCCCUAGAAUCUGCAUCCAGGAUGUCAUCACAUCCACUCCCUUUCACUUGACAGAACCAGCUCCAACCAAUUGGAAUGCUAAACCACGCCUCAUCUCAAAACUACAUUUGCUAAAAAACAGUCCAAGCAUUCUGAUGCCUCAAGGCUCAUAAUGAACAAGCCUGGGAUAUUUUUGAUUGGCGGUGCUGGGGCUAGAACCCAAGGCACCACACAUGCUAGGCAAGCCCUCUACCACGGAGCCACGUACCGACCGCAGGGAAUUAUUUAAAUCAUCAUCUAGCCUAUCUGAUUCACCUCCUGUUUAAUAAACUCCCACAGCUUCCUUGCACUUGCAAAGACAGAACUCACAUCCUCCAUUCCUCCUUACUCAGGUUUCCUCUCUGCAGGAAAGGAAUGCACGUUCGGCCCCACUGCACUCCCCCUUCUCCUCAGCCACAUCACUCAUACUCACUUGUUCAGAUUACACGCAGAGAGGAAAAUCCAACACGUUUGCUUAUCCCAAUUUAGACAUGGAAAUACCUAAUAGAGUACUAAAUGAGAGAGAGACUGAACAAAUGAGGCUCUGAAACAACACAUCUGCAAGUCAUGCAAGUGCAUCCCCAAAAGGAAACCCAGCCUUCCUAUCCAGGAGUGAGUUCUGUGACCCUGGACAACAGAGCUCUCCCCUCACCCACUCGUGUCCCCUUUCCUAUGGGAUAUGAGAUGGGUGACCGGGCUCAAUGGAGAUAGCGAAUCAGAUAAUCACAGAGCAUGACUGUGAGAGUGAGCACGGUCAUGACAGGGCCACCCAACGGGACAGUCAUGCCUGCACUUGUGAUGGAAGCCAAAGGGCAUGUGUAAAAUACAUCUGAGGGCCAGGCAUGGUGGCACACACCUAUAAUCACAGCACUUGGGAGGCUGAGGCAGGAGGAUCGUUGUGAGUGGCUACAAGUGAGAUCAAGACCAGCCUGAACUUCAUGGUGAGACCCUGUCUCAAAAAGACAAAAAUAAAUAAAUAUGUUGAGGGAUCAUGGGAGGAGGUGUUUAAUUUUUCACUUUAAUAACUUGCCCUUAUAAACCAAGAAUGCAUGUUCUUGUUAUUAAGUUCCAUGUAAUUUACUAAAGUAAGUAAAACUGAAAACCUCAUUAGGUAACAUUAGAGAAUUAAGAUUACAGUAAGAAAUGACAAUGCAGGGCCAG
rnacentral:lncRNA from 1 species